CCUACGGGAGGCAGCAGUGAGGAAUAUUGGUCAAUGGACGCAAGUCUGAACCAGCCAUGCCGCGUGCAGGAAGACGGCUCUAUGAGUUGUAAACUGCUUUUGUACGAGGGUAAACGCAGAUACGCGUAUCUGUCUGAAAGUAUCGUACGAAUAAGGAUCGGCUAACUCCGUGCCAGCAGCCGCGGUAAUACGGAGGAUUCAAGCGUUAUCCGGAUUUAUUGGGUUUAAAGGGUGCGUAGGCGGGUGGAUAAGUUAGAGGUGAAAUCCCGAGGCUCAACUUCGGAAUUGCCGUUGAUACUGGGCGUCUUGAGAGGAGGUGAGGUAGGCGGAAUGUAUGGUGUAGCGGUGAAAUGCUUAGAGAUCAUACAGAACACCGAUUGCGAAGGCAGCUUACCAAGCUACGACUGACGUUGAGGCACGAAAGCGUGGGGAGCAAACAGGAUUAGAUACCCGUGUAGUC
rnacentral:rRNA from 1 species